UACGUAGGUGGCAAGCGUUGUCCGGAUUUACUGGGCGUAAAGAGCGCGCAGGCGGUCGUUCAAGUCGCGUGUGAAAGCCCCCGGCUCAACUGGGGAGGGUCACGCGAUACUGAUCGACUCGAAGGCAGGAGAGGGUAGUGGAAUUCCCGGUGUAGUGGUGAAAUGCGUAGAUAUCGGGAGGAACACCAGUGGCGAAGGCGACUACCUGGCCUGUGCUUGACGCUGAGGUGCGAGAGCGUGGGGAGCGAACCGG
rnacentral:rRNA from 1 species